AUUGUCCGUUCUCAGUACUCUCUUGAAUCUUGAUUUAUUUUUUUAUUCUUCCUUUCUGAGAUGUUGACUGAUGCACAUGCACAGUAGCCCUUUGAAUUCAUUGGAUUGGCAGAGAACAUUGUAACUGAUUAUUUAAGCCAAGGGAGAGCAACACUCCAUGUGAUAUAAGUUGGUAAAACUAUUUAAGUCUCAAAGGGGAUUAUACAACCCAGUGGUUACCAUCCGAGUCCUCGUGGCCCAGCAACAAUAUUGGCCACACUUCUAUUUAGCUAAAGUUAUUUUGGUGCUUAGAGUAUUGCUUUAAG